AAAUGUGCUUUUAGGCAGCUACAGUGAAAACAAAGAAACUGGAGGAAAAUGCUGAAGCAGUGAGACUAGCACAUAUGGAAUGUAAAUACACGACAGAAAUCAUGCAGUUAAGAAUUCAAGAACUUGAAGAUGCUUUGAAUGAAGAGCAAGGUGGCAGGAGAGAAGCUUUUUCAGUGGUAGCACAGAAAGAUUUCAGAGAGUCAAAAAAUGCACAUGAGAGAGGAAAAAAAGAACACCUUUCAUCCUCAAAUGCCAAGUGGAGAGAAGGGGCUGAGGACAGGAAGGAAACUGAAG
rnacentral:lncRNA from 1 species